rnacentral:rRNA from 1 species
UAAGGAAUAUUGGUCAAUGGACGCAAGUCUGAACCAGCCAUGCCGCGUGGAGGAUUAAGGCCCUCUGGGUUGUAAACUCCUUUUAUCUGGGAAGAAAUGCUUUGAUUCUUCAAAGCUUGACGGUACCAGAGGAAUAAGCACCGGCUAACUCCGUGCCAGCAGCCGCGGUAAUACGGAGGGUGCAAGCGUUAUCCGGAUUCACUGGGUUUAAAGGGUGCGUAGGCGGACAGGUAAGUCAGUGGUGAAAUCUCCGAGCUUAACUCGGAAACUGCCGUUGAUACUAUUUGUCUUGAAUAUUGUGGAGGUAAGCGGAAUAUGUCAUGUAGCGGUGAAAUGCUUAGAUAUGACAUAGAACACCAAUUGCGAAGGCAGCUUACUACACAACAAUUGACGCUGAGGCACGAAAGCGUGGGGAUCAAAC